UAGGGGAGCGUUCUGUAAGCCUGCGAAGGUGUACUGUGAGGUAUGCUGGAGGUAUCAGAAGUGCGAAUGCUGACAUAAGUAACGAUAAAGCGGGUGAAAAGCCCGCUCGCCGGAAGACCAAGGGUUCCUGUCCAACGUUAAUCGGGGCAGGGUGAGUCGACCCCUAAGGCGAGGCCGAAAGGCGUAGUCGAUGGGAAACAGGUUAAUAUUCCUGUACUUGGUGUUACUGCGAAGGGGGGACGGAGAAGGCUAUGUUGGCCGGGCGACGGUUGUCCCGGUUUAAGCGUGUAGGCUGGUUUUCCAGGCAAAUCCGGAAAAUCAAGGCUGAGGCGUGAUGACGAGGCACUACGGUGCUGAAGCAACAAAUGCCCUGCUUCCAGGAAAAGCCUCUAAGCAUCAGGUAACAUCAAAUCGUACCCCAAACCGACACAGGUGGUCAGGUAGAGAAUACCAAGGCGCUUGAGAGAACUCGGGUGAAGGAACUAGGCAAAAUGGUGCCGUAACUUCGGGAGAAGGCACGCUGAUAUGUAGGUGAAGUCCCUCGCGGAUGGAGCUGAAAUCAGUCGAAGAUACCAGCUGGCUGCAACUGUUUAUUAAAAACACAGCACUGUGCAAACACGAAAGUGGACGUAUACGGUGUGACGCCUGCCCGGUGCCGGAAGGUUAAUUGAUGGGGUUAGCGCAAGCGAAGCUC
rnacentral:rRNA from 1 species